rnacentral:hammerhead_ribozyme from 15 species
CAGGCGUAUAAGGUAGGCUUCCAUUACAAUACCUUACUGAUGAGUCCAGUAAUGGAAAGCCGGGACGAAACGCCAA